rnacentral:rRNA from 1 species
UGGGGAAUUUUGGACAAUGGGCGAAAGCCUGAUCCAGCAAUGCCGCGUGUGUGAAGAAGGCCUUCGGGUUGUAAAGCACUUUUGUCCGGAAAGAAAUCCUUGGCUCUAAUACAGUCGGGGGAUGACGGUACCGGAAGAAUAAGCACCGGCUAACUACGUGCCAGCAGCCGCGGUAAUACGUAGGGUGCAAGCGUUAAUCGGAAUUACUGGGCGUAAAGCGUGCGCAGGCGGUUUGCUAAGACCGAUGUGAAAUCCCCGGGCUCAACCUGGGAACUGCAUUGGUGACUGGCAGGCUAGAGUAUGGCAGAGGGGGGUAGAAUUCCACGUGUAGCAGUGAAAUGCGUAGAGAUGUGGAGGAAUACCGAUGGCGAAGGCAGCCCCCUGGGCCAAUACUGACGCUCAUGCACAGAAAGCGUGGGGAGCAAAACAGGAUUAGAUACCCUGGUAGUCCACGCCCUAAACGAUGUCAACUAGUUGUUGGGGAUUCAUUCCUUAGUAACGUAGCUAACGCGUGAAGUUGACCGCCUGGGGAGUACGGUCGCAAGAUUAAAACUCAAAUGAAUUGACGGGGUCAUAGCUGUUUCCU